rnacentral:rRNA from 1 species
CGUAGCCACGGGAAAACGAAGGGUGCGAGCGUUAAUCGGAACUACUGGGCGUAAAGCGUGCGUAGGCGGUUUGUUAAGUCUGCUGUGAAAUCCCCGGGCUCAACCUGGGAAUGGCAGUGGAUACUGGCAAGCUAGAGUGUGUCAGAGGAUGGUGGAAUUCCCGGUGUAGCGGUGAAAUGCGUAGAGAUCGGGAGGAACAUCAGUGGCGAAGGCGGCCAUCUGGGACAACACUGACGCUGAGGCACGAAAGCGUGGGGAGCAAACAGGAUUAGAUACCCGGGUAGUCCCUGUCUCUUAUACA